AGAGUUUGAUCAGUGGCUCAGAGCGAACGCUGGCGGCAGGCUUAACACAUGCAAGUCGAGCGGGCGUAGCAAUACGUCAGCGGCAGACGGGUGAGUAACGCGUGGGAACGUACCUUUUGGUUCGGAACAACACAGGGAAACUUGUGCUAAUACCGGAUAAGCCCUUACGGGGAAAGAUUUAUCGCCGAAAGAUCGGCCCGCGUCUGAUUAGCUAGUUGGUAGGGUAAUGGCCUACCAAGGCGACGAUCAGUAGCUGGUCUGAGAGGAUGAUCAGCCACAUUGGGACUGAGACACGGCCCAAACUCCUACGGGAGGCAGCAGUGGGGAAUAUUGGACAAUGGGGGCAACCCUGAUCCAGCCAUGCCGCGUGAGUGAUGAAGGCCCUAGGGUUGUAAAGCUCUUUUGUGCGGGAAGAUAAUGACGGUACCGCAAGAAUAAGCCCCGGCUAACUUCGUG
rnacentral:rRNA from 1 species